CCUACGGGAGGCAGCAGUAAGGAAUAUUGGUCAAUGGACGAAAGUCUGAACCAGCCAUGCCGCGUGAAGGAUGACGGCCCUCAGGGUUGUAAACUUCUUUUAUAGGGGACGAAAAAAUCCGAUUCUUCGGAGACUGACGGUACCCUACGAAUAAGCACCGGCUAACUCCGUGCCAGCAGCCGCGGUAAU
rnacentral:rRNA from 1 species